AUCUGACGAAGCCAUUUCAACAGGAAGAGAUACAUGUCGCAUUCACAGAGAAAACUAAUGGAUUCUCUGUGAAAAUAAAAAAAAGGUGAAUUAUAGCAGCUGGUAUCAUCCAAAGAUCAUGGUUGACACAGAGUUCUUUCACUUUUGAUGCAUCUGAUGUGUAAGGGCAUUUUAAUACAUGGAGUGCAUGAUUUCUCAGUGAGAAAGGGAGCACCUGAAUCAAUGCUGCUUUUUCUGUUAAUUUGGUAUAACUUACUACCAUGAACAUACCCCUCAAUGAUUCUGACGACUAACUAAUUGGGUAAGGUUAUGAAUUGCAUGCUGUAGAGUUAGCAAUUUGAUUCUUCUUGGUGCUUCUUUGGAUCAGUAAAAUUACUCCUCUUUUGUUUUAAACACAACUGGAGCUAGGCCAAUGCAGUUUUCUGGUCUGGAUUGACCCUUAUGUACAUGACUUGGUUAUAUUCAGGCUUAACUCAAAUUCCCCGUUUCCUUUACAUCUUAGUUUAUCAAUAACAUGGACAGUAUGAGGAGGAAUUGAGCAAGGCACACUUUGGCAUGAUGUGCUACCUUCAGUUGGCCCUAGCUGGCUGAUAGACACUACUGAAUCUGUUUAUUCUCUUCAUGACUGGUAGAUUUUGUUGAGUUCUAAUCUGCAUCUACUAAGUUGGCUGAUGGUCAUUUUACCUCUUGGGAACAACUUACUAGGAUGAAGUGGUUUGCAUAUGUGGAUUUAUUCUUCCUUCGAAAGUGUUUUACUUUUCUAGUGGCAUCUCAUCCUUUACCACUAGAGAAGAGCAAAGAAGUGAAUUUAUAUGAUGGUUUAGAAGAGCUAGUGAGUUAUUCAGUCUAGCUAAUUUGUCUUAUUUUAUCUAAAUUAGCAAUAGAAUACUAAUUACAGGCUAGAACAACUACAGAUAACACUAAUCUGCAAUGUCCAACUUGAGGAAAUUUAUAGUUGGACAUGAAUGAAUAGGUUCAGUGCAAUAUCAUGUCAUGGAAAAUAUUCUUGUGAACCAUUGAGAUUAUACUUCACAAAUUUAUCUUACAGAUUACAUCAAAACCAUGUUCAUCGAGCCGCUGAACAAAGCCUGGUUUCUAAUGAAGAUAAGACCAUGUCCGAGGUUUCUUCAGUGGCUUAUGCCAUUUAAUGCAGCACCAUGCAGGAGUCUGCAACUCCAGUGAGCUCUGCUCUUCUUCAGACAUGGUGAUGUUAACUUGAUCGUGAUGGUAUCAGAGCGGUUGCUGUUUGCCUUCUCUCCCAUCCUAAAUUUCCUGUCGUUGACACAAUGCACAGCUCCAUGUCAUCGGCAGAAUGCACCUUCCUCCUCUACGGUUUGCACCGGUGAGGAGUUUCUAACAAGAUCAUCCCAAACAGGGGGACUAUCAGUGGAUAUUUCUCAUCGAACAGUGCAGAAAUUUCCAUUAUUUGUCGUGCCCGAGGAUGUUGAUAAGAUGUUGACACAUGACAAGGUUUCUCAUCCUCGAGGUCUGACUCCAGGAACGGUCUCAGGCUCCCAGCUCUGCAAGUUGCCACUGCCACCUUCUUUGCACUGAUGGUGUACAAGAUAAGCAUGGCACGAGAGGAACAGGGAGAUCGGCUGUGGGGUUUGCCUGCAAGUUGCCAUGUUCAUUGUCCCGUGAACAGAACACAGGUUUGGCCGGCGAUAUCAACUGUUCAUGCUGAGGGAGUUGGGAACUUGAGGCCACACACAUCGGCACAUGAACAAGAACAGGGCACAUGUGAUGGCUAGAUUUAGCAGGAGGACUACUGACAGGUCCAAGUUGGGAAUGUCCACAGUGCAUGACCCUUCCACGGUUUACUCGCUUCUAAGGUCUGGAUGGGUUCAUAUCAAGGAGUAGGUUUGCUGUCGAGCUCGUGAUAAGAAAAGGCCUCACAAGUUCGAUCCUUUAGUAAGAGAGGAAAACAUGGGCUAUCUGGCCAACAAGAAUGGGUGCAGAAGAGAGAUAAUAUAUAAAAGAAAAGAUGCCGGAGGAGAUCAAGGAUGAUAUGAGACAACAUGCUAACAAGUUGGGGGGGGUAUUUCCACUGUCGCUGGUGGAGCUCAUGCAGAGUGGAACAUUCCUUAAAGAGAGAAAACAAAAGCAUGGAGGACUGUUUCAGUGCUCAAAGAAACUUUUGGCUGCCGUGCUCUUCUCUGUGCUCAAAGGAUUUGAAUGAUGGCUCCCAAGUGUUGCUUCUGCUUCUCCUUGUAAAAUCUCAGUUUAGUAUCAGGAAAGAGCCAUCCAGCUCAGUAAUUUGCCCCACUUCAAGCAAUAUUGAGAGAAGGGAAAUAGAUAGAGAUGACAUGAGGACUUACAAAAUGGAAAGAAGAAAACGAUUUGCUAUGAGAAAGAAACAGAGGAUGAGAAAGUGGGAGCUGAAGAGCUUUCUGCAUGAUGGGAAGCUGAUGCAGUAUU